CCUGAAAUAGCAGCAGCUGAGCUUUGCUGGGGUGCAAACGGCUUUGUGGCAGGGUGCGGGGUUAAGUCCUUGCAGAGGAUCUGCACCUACAGCCCUAACCCUGCCCCUACAAACAGCUCAAUGGUACAGUUCCUGGGCUUAAGCUGAUUCCUAGGACAAGGUCUGGACCUGGCUGCAGCAGUCUGUGCUCUGGUCUGUAAAGAUGUCUGUCAAGCGCUGCGCCUCCAAAGACCUUGCUGAAUGACAGGAAAAUUUGCAUGCCAACCAACGGCACUUUCUAGGACGUCGUCAAUGCAGUCAACCACUGCAGAGUUUCUCUCCCUUCCCAGCCAUUCAAAGGAGCUGAGCGGCUUGCCGAAGGCGUGGGGUGGGGGCUGAGCGAUGUGACAAUCACGGCAUGUCCCCAGAGCGGAGGCAGCCCCGUGCUUGAAUGCAGCAGCUCUCCGUCCCCUCUGCC